GAGCCGCGCGUGCGCAGAGGGAAAGCGGAAUCUACACCUUCCCCGCCAGCGGUAGCAACUGCAGAACUGCAGGAGACAAUCUUUCUAGACAAGGCUGUUGAGGAGGAGGGAGCGAUUGAAGGGGGGGUUGACUUAGCGUGCACUGCGCCCCUCGGGAUCGUUGUUGCGCGUGAAACGGCUGCUUUUGGAAGGCUAUUGCCCAGAAGAAAAGAUGUUUGGUUUUCACAAGCCAAAGAUGUACCGAAGUAUAGAGGGCUGCUGCAUUUGCAGAGCUAAAUCCUCCAGUUCUCGGUUCACUGACAGUAAACGCUAUGAAAAGGAUUUCCAGAGCUGUUUUGGGUUACAUGAGACUCGUUCAGGAGAUAUCUGUAAUGCCUGUGUCCUGCUUGUGAAAAGAUGGAAGAAAUUGCCAGCAGGAUCAAAAAAAAACUGGAAUCAUGUGGUAGAUGCAAGGGCAGGACCCAGUCUAAAGACUACACUGAAACCAAAGAAAGUGAAAACUCUAUCUGGAAACAGGAUAAAAAGUAACCAGAUCAGUAAACUGCAGAAGGAAUUUAAACGCCACAAUUCUGAUGCUCACAGUACAACCUCAAGUGCCUCUCCAGCUCAGUCUCCCUGUUACAGUAACCAGUCAGAUGAUGGCUCAGAUACAGAGAUGGCUUCUGGCUCCAACAGAACGCCAGUGUUUUCCUUUUUAGAUCUCACAUACUGAAAAAGACAGAAAAUAUGCUGUGGCAUUAUCUAUAAAGGCCGUUUUGGGGAAGUCCUCAUCGACACACAUCUAUUCAAGCCUUGCUGCAGCAAUAAGAAAGCAGCUGCUGAGAAGCCGGAGGAGCAGGGGCCAGAGCCUCUGCCCAUCUCCACUCAGGAGUGGUGACUAAGCUUUAUGUAGACGGGGAGCAAAAAUGAUUUAAAUUUUGGAAAACAAAGCAACAAAAUGACCCUCCUAUUUUUAAUUUGGAUACCUGCUAUUCUGCCAAAAAGAUGGAUUUGUAGAAUAGUUUUGAAUGGGUUAUUUUUCCUCCAGUUCCACAAACUCUGAAGCCAGUGAAGCUUACUAAGAGAUAAAAAAAGAAGUGUACAUAAUAUUUAAAAUGCUGAGUAUUUCAUAGGAAAGCUGAAUGCUGCUGUAAAGUGCUCUUUAAGUCUUUUUUAAAAAUCCCCUUCUAAUGAAUGAAAUUAGGGGAAUUUUCAGGGGACAGAGAUGGGAUUUGUUGUAUGAUAAACGUAUGUAGUUUUAGUCUUUCUAUUUUGAGAAGCAGUGGUUGGGGCAUUUUUUAAGAUGGCUGGCUACACUUGUUUUCCUUCAUUAUAAUAAAUUUGUCAUAACUCAGUAAACAUGGACUUGCCCCUAGAGGUAGUUGUUAAUAACUGAAAUAUUAAGGUCUUGCCAAGGUUCUGGUGAUUCAAACCUGUACUACUGAAUAUUAAGCGGGACAGACAGCUCUCUGGUGCGAAUAUCUUGAAGGAGCAAUUUCUAAAUAGGCAGAGGUAACCUGACUGUAUAUGUUGCAUCCUGUGUCACCUCCCUCCAUAUUGAUAUUUGAUACAGAUUUUAAUUUAUAUGAAACUUAAAAAGCAGAAUCAAAACUUAAAGCAGAAUCAAAGUUCCUCUUGGGGAAAUGUCAAGUCUUUAGGAGAAGCAAUCCUAUAUGAAUAGUACCAAAGCAUUACCACUUGGUAGAGAACAUUCUCUAUUAAAAAUGUUAGAUUAUCUGAAAAAUAACAAUGUGCAAGUCUUUAGGAUGGCACACGAAAACAACAAAGGUUAAUGCUUCUUGGGGCACAGUUCUUAGAGGGCUUGCAAGUGUGUAAAUAAUUUAUGUUACGUGACUGGUGACUUCACUGAAAAAUCUGCACAAUUCAGUUUUAGCUCUGGAUUACUUCAGUUGACCUUUGUGAAGGUUUUAUCUGUGUAGAAUGGUUGUUUGACUUGUUUUAACCUGUUAGGGUUUUGGGUUUGUUUUUUUUUUUUUUUCAUUCUAUAUUAAAAGUCUACUAAAAGAAAAGAGGUGUGUGUUAAUGCUGAGUGGGUUGGUUUUGGUUUGGCUUCUUUUAGUCAGGCUUUCUGAACAUUGAGGUGUUAGAU